rnacentral:lncRNA from 1 species
GAAAGAGCGAAGAACGGCAAACGAGAGAGAGAGGACAUCCUGUCUGCUGGUGCCUCUGCCUCCGUUUGACAGAGCUAGCGAAAGAGAGCGAGGAGAGCAAGAAGCAAGGGGGAGGGAGACAGAGGAUGUGGUGUGUAAAGGGAGGAGCGGGGUGGUGGUGGGGGGGCUGCCUUUCGUUCUGAAGGGAAUGCAAUAGAAGCAGCAAAAGGGCGAGCGAGAGAGGCAAGGAGAGCAAGCGAAUCGACCUGCUCCUUUCGGCUGCCAGGUGGAGUUGGGAACGGCAGCCUGACCACGGAGGGAGGAGAGGUUCCCGCACGAGGGCAGGAAAAGGAGGAUAAUAAUCCGCUAAGAGAGAAAGAGAGACAAACAGAGAGGCAGGGGAGGCAGAGAGAGCGAAAGCGAGAACCAAAGAGAUAGAGAGGGAGAAUGCUGUCGGUUGGCGGGGGAGGAGGCAGAAGAGAGAGACGAACAAGAUGAAAUAACAGCAGAUGGAAGAGGAUGGACUGCAGAGCAGAGCAAUACAACACACACGCACACACUGGGUUUCCCAUGGGGCGAAGACUCAAACUCUACAGCGACCAAAGAGCGGGGAUCGAACCCACGCUGAACUGCACAGCCCCGGCACUGUGAGAGACCGGGUCAGCUUGUUGAGUGAGUGUGAAUUCAUCUGUGCUGAUUUCUUUGGUCUUUACUCUUCUGUUAAAUUAAGACAUGAACAUUGAACAUCAUGUAUACCUAUGAUCUGUUUGUGAUUCUAUCACACACACAUAUUGACUGAAACCGCUUGACCCAAGCAGGGGUCACGGCGAGCCAGAGCCUAACCCGGCAACAUAGGACGCAAGGCUGGAGGGGGAGGGGACACACCCAGGACGGGACGCCAGUCCACUGCAAGGCACCCCAAGUGGGACUCGGACCCCAGACCCACCAGAGAGCAGGCGCAGGCCAAACCCAGUGCGCUAUCGCACCCCCAUGCCCCUGAUUGUAUCAAGUGUAUGUAAUUGAUAUGAAAGAACUAAAUGAGUGCAG